CAAAAAAUCAUCUUAUAAUCCUGAGCCACACGUUUUUGAGAGUUUGGAGAUUAAAAUGAAUUCCAAGAGUAUCUGCAAUGAAUAUGUUUGGAGAAGUUUUGAAGAUCCCGAUUUCAGCCUGAAGCAGAGACGGUCUUGGGAAUUUACAGACUCAUGGUUGAGAAAGAAAGCCACACGGUCUUAAUGAAGAAGGUAGCUGAUCGCAAAGGGAGACUGGAAAUCUAAGUUAAGCUGCGCUACACCUAUGAUUCAGGACAAUAACCAUAAAUACUGGAUCUCAGUCAAUGGAAUUUGGUUUCGAGUAGCCAGCCUGAUGCCUAUGGUUAACUUACAACAUACUGGAGAACACCAUACAAGCUGCACAAAGGAAGAAAACAGAUACCGUCCUGAAGAAGCUGCAAGAGUGAACUGCUAUGUUCCAACAGGAGCCAUGGUGGCAAUUUUGAGGUCUUAUUUUGAUCAUGGGCCUACGAUCACAGGAAGGCCGGGGUAAGCACUCUGCUGGCAGGAGAGGCAGAGAGAAAAGCCUGUGCUCCGCAGCUCAGAAAUCACCUGCGCCUUGCCACGGGGACCCUCAGCGGAAGUGAGGAGGCUGCUUUCCCACGUACCGUUACCACUCACUUGGUGCUUUGUCAUUCACCACAAACGGCUUUAAGGAUCUCUUGCAUUCUUCUUUUGUUUAUAUUUGUUUGAUUUCUGGAGCUAUGCUACAAGGUACUUGAAGGCAAU
ensembl:lincRNA